rnacentral:lncRNA from 1 species
AUGAGAGUCUAUGAGCACAACAUAAUAAUCAUGAUCUUCAGAGAACUAAAAGACUGCUACACAAAACAACAUUUAAGAACAGGCAAAUUCAAAACCUGGUGCUACCUACCAAGAAUGAAAGGUACACAGAAGAGAAAAACUUUAAAACAGAAGCACUGGAAGACCCAGAGAAGAAUGGCACAUGAGAUGGCUAAAUUUUAAACAAAACAUGGGCCAGCCUUCUCCUUUUCAGCCCUUUCUUCAUGCAGCAGAAAGUGGCUGGAAGAAAACCUGAAAGCCUGG